CCUUAUUGGUGGUUGAGUGAGCUCCAAGAAUGACUUGGGACUUUUUGUUCCUGAGAACAGACACAGCACUGUUUACUGGGUUCAUUCUUUUAAUUAGGAGGUGCAGGAUAAACCAGAGAACCUCUUUGGGAAUUCCUGGCAAGAUAGGUUAUUACCUAAGCCAGGGGUCUCCCAGCCUAUGCAAGAAAGGCUGAACUGAUGAAGGCACCACUAUUAUGUUCCUGAAAGGUACUAUUUGUUUUACUAACUCAAGAAUGUUUUGUUUAUUUGUUUACUCCUUUUUCCACUGUACUUUUUGCUAUUUCAAGCUACAAAUUGACAGCAAUAAGCAUUGGUGGUUCUGUUAUCUUUUGUAAAGAAAUUAUAAGAUGAAAAAGGAUCUUUUUCCUUCCAAAAUAAGGAAAUAUUUAGAAUCCAAGAAAGAAUGCUAAGCAUUUUAAGGCUUAAGGAAAAAACAAAAAAAAACUUCUUUCAGUGUAAGAAGGUAAUAUUACCAAAUGGUUCUUGAAAGUCUGCUCCAUUUUGCUUCAUGGUUAUAGUGGAAAUGACAAGAAUCAGUCUUACCUUCAGGAAUUAGCAGGAGAAAAAUGACAACUGAGAGAGAGGAUGCCAGAAAUGCAGAGGGG